rnacentral:rRNA from 1 species
GUAGUCCACGCCCUAAACGAUGGAUGCUAGGUUUGCGGGGUAUCGACCCCCUGUGAGCCGUAGGUAACCCGUUAAGCAUCCCGCCUGGGGACUACGACCGCAAGGUUAAAACUCAAAGGAAUUGACGGGGGCCCGCACAAGCAGCGGAGCGUGUGGUUUAAUUCGAUGCUAAGCGAAGAACCUUACCAGGGCUUGACAUGUAAGUGGUACUGAACCGAAAGGCGAGGGACCCGCAAGGGAGCUUACACAGGUGCUGCAUGGUUGUCGUCAGCUCGUGCCGUGAGGUGUUGGGUUAAGUCCCGCAACGAGCGCAACCCUUGUCGCUAGUUAAAUUCUCUAGCGAGACUGCCCCUAAAAGGGAGGAAGGAGGGGAUGAUGUCAAAUCAUCAUGGCUCUUACGUCCUGGGCUACACACACGCUACAAUGGCCAGUACAGACGGUUGCUAAAUCGCGAGAUGGAGCCAAUCCGACAAAGCUGGUCUCAGUUGGGAUUGCAGGCUGAAACCCGCCUGCAUGAACGUGGAGUUGCUAGUAACCGCAGGUCAGCAUACUGCGGUGAAUACGUUCCCGGGCCUUGUACACACCGCCCGUCACGUCAUGGAAGAUGGUAACACUUGAAGUCGUCAGGCUAACCUUCGGGAGGCAGACGCCGAGAGUGGGACCGUUGACUGGGACG